ACUAUUGUUUAUGCAUUGGAGCUCAUUUGUUCUAAAAGUAAUCAUUGAUAUUCUAGCUGCAAUCUCCUAAAAACAUAAAUCCAAGAGGUAAUUUUCUUGGCUUAGUUUGGUCACUUCGGAGAGUGAGCAUUUUUGGAGUUGUGGUCACAAAUCAGCCCUUCUCAUGAGGACGGACCUAGAAUAUCUCAACAUUGGUCAGAAUUUUUUAUCUCAAGAGGAAGUGCCUGAGAUUUUCUCAAUUGUGGUAUGAGGCUUCAAAAGUCAUUGUCUUCACAAGUCGUUAGGUUUCUCAGGUCUGUAAGUGUCUGGUCAAGGUUACUUGAUCUGUUCAGAAACUUGUUUCCAGGAGUUAUUUGAGACCAGAACUUGGUAAGAUUGAGGUCCAAAGCCUAUCCGAAACAAGGAUGGAAGGUAUGUGCCAGCGGUUUUGGUUCUCCACAGUGUGAGGCUUGUCUAUCUGCCAAAGUUGGGCAAGAAUGGAUGUGAGGGAUGCUGCUUCAAUCUAGUAGAUCUUCUAGAGUGCUGUUUCAGGUCAGUCUUAUCUGGAAGCAUCAUUUAAACCCGUCACUUGAAGUUCUUACCUUGUAAAUUAUGAGUGUGACUUCAGAGAGAGGCUUGAGACUUUCUCUGCAUUUUUGUAAUAUUUGUUUGAUUUGGGUGCUGCUAGUCUGGGAGUUUUCCUGAAUGCCAUUUAAAGGUGCCAGGUUACUUCCGACAUAGAGGUGAAGGAUUUAUGUGAUUACUUAUUUCUUUUGUCUUCCCCUCCAAGGAAGAUGCUUGUGAGGAAUGGUGAACGGAGAUUCCAGGACCAUUUUGGGCAAUUUCUCUUGAUGUGCCAAAUUUACUUGACUAUCUACAGUGGUCGAGGCUCUACUCCCUUUAGAUCCGGAAACACUUGGCUUAGGCUGGACAAUUUAGUUUGAAAGUUUUGGAGCUCUUAUGAGGUUUUAGAGUCUCCAAGCUUUUCUCUUUCUAAGAAGCUGUGGUAGUUUAAAGUUGAUCUAAAGAAAAUAGAGGUUCUAGGAAAAUUAACGUGAGAAUCAGUAAGCUACUCGAGGAUAUUAAAUUUCCCUGAUCGAAAAGGGAGACAGAUUCUCCCAUUGACUGAGAGGGUAGUAAAAUUGAUGAGAAAAGAGUGGUGAGUUUAGAAAUAGAAAUCUAUAUUAUUCUUUCCAAAAGGUGAGUAGUAUAUGAAGUUCUAUCAUAAAACCGCAAGUGAAACAAUCAUAUGCACAGAUAUAUUGAGGUUUAGUGAAGAUAUCGUUAAUAAAGAAGUGGAAUUAAGUGGCUAGGAGGGUUCUUCGCACAGGAGACUGGGAGUCCAGAGUCCAGACAAUCAUUGGCUUGGAUUUUAAAGUCUUACUUGAGCAAUGUGACUGGUCUUUAGAGACCCUGCCUCCGUAAGCAAUGGUAAAAGCUUUAAAGUGCCUAAAUAGUGAGAAGGCCCUUUGACCAAGAUGGCUUCUUAAUUGCCGUUUUAGUUGUUAGUGGUACCCAAGUUUGACUGAUGUAGAGAGACUCCCGUGGGCUCUGGUCAAAAGGGAAGUUAUUCAGGCAAAGCAUCUGCAAACUAAUGGAGUUCCUGAAGGUUCUGUUAAAUUGAGUAGAUAGUUCUAGAGGGUUGAGGCUGCGAGAUUUUCAUAUUUGUUUUAAUGAUUAUGCCAGCUGAGAGUUUUGGGUGGGUUGAGUGGUUCCAGGGGCUGGUUUUAGGAAGCGGGGUAUUAGUCGACUCAAAAGUCAAUUUAUAAAGAUUGAAGAACACGCAUGUGUUAUUUUGUACAAAUUACAUAUCAAAUUAGAUAUGACAAAGAGUCAUAAGGGUCUUACAUAUAGAAAAAUGAAUGAAUGAAUGAUUGUUUAAUUAGAAUUUACGCAGUCAAUUCACCUUUGGUGCAAUAUAUAUAUAUAUAUAUAUAUUCAUGCACCUGGGGUUGAGUUGAUGAGCAACAUUCAAAAUCUAUGGAUUUGCAUUUUAAUUAUGAUGAUGAUAAUAAAAGCGAUGUGGAUGGAGCAAUAUUCCAAAAUAGGUUUUGCCUGGAAGUUGCUGUAUGCCACUCUCUCAUGUGAGGAUGGAUGCAUACAAUGAACUUUUUUACUUCAUUGUUGACAAAUUGCAGAGAUGAAUCUUUGGCUUUAAAGUAGAAGAUGAAGAUUUUAUUCGUAUCUUAUGCCCCUCUUAUUUUUAUUAAAAUAGAAGAUGCUUUCGUUUUAUUAGCAAAACAAUGCAAUGGCAAUGGAUUCCACGUGAUUUUCGCCAACUAUCCCCCCGUUCCCUAAAAUCAUUCAUUAUUUUAUUUAUUUAUAUAUAUAUAUAUAUAUGAAGUAUCCUUUUUGUAAGCGUUAUUUUAUGAUAAAUUUUAGUUCACAAUGUGGUGAUUUCUCAAAGACCAUUAAAAAAAUUGUCCAUUUAAGACUUUUUUUAACUUCUUGGCUCUUAUGAUAAAAAAAAAAAGAAAAGAAAAAACCUUAUUGGCUUUUGAUUUUGUAUCGAUUUUUAAAAAAAAUAAAUAUAUCACUUUUGUACAUAUUGGGUUAUAUAAGAGGAUAUUAUGAUUAAAAUAUCUCUUGUCUAGUAAGAAAAUGUAAUUUAAGUACGGAGAGUAUUAUAAUAUAAAGUGUUCUUAUUAUUCUCUCUUCAGAUUUCAAGGUUAUAUCAAAGUCUCUGGACAGUCCGAAAGUUUCUAUUGAACUGAACUUGGUAAUGAUUGAUUGGGUAUGGAUGGAGCAAGGAAAAAAUAUGAAAACAAUUUUAAAAAAGAAAUUAUAGUUAUUGAGUAGUGUGUUUUAAAAAGGUUUAAAGUGAAGUCAAAUUUUCACAAAAUUAAAAUUAAAAUAAAAGAAAACAAACUAAACACUAAACCACCUUCUUAAUGAAGUUUGGAUAAUAGCAAGAUGGGCCACUAUUACAAUUUAUAUGAUUUUAAUUUAUAGGUAAAAUUUUUAUUAUUGAUUCAGUACUUGUGUAUAUCUUAAAUGUCAUCCUUACAUAUCUAAUAUAUAUAGGUUAUUUCAUUGUAUAUUUAAGAGAGAGAAUUUUAAUUAUUGGUUUAAGAUUAUUACGAAAAUUCUUAAAAACUCCUUAUCUGGUAACUUCUUACCAUAUUAAUUAAUAAUUAAUGGUAAAAUAUAACAAGUAAACAAUAAUUUAGAAUUAAAAUUUAAAUAUCCUGUGAUAAGUAAAAUUAUUAUUAUAAGUUAAAUUGAAAAAAAAUAAAAAAUUCCAUUGUACGUACGAUGCAUUUAUGCAUUUUUUACCCGAAUCCGAACCCGAACCCGAACCCAAACCCGAACAACCUGCCCAGACUAUCUCAUUAAUUUGCAUCCGUUGACGGUGCCCGCUGAAUCCAAAAAGGGCUUAAAUCCAACGGCCAAUUCACUCUCUCAGAACAGUUACCACUUACCAAGCAAGCCGCUAAAACCCAACCAAAGCUCUCUUUCUUUCUACGGACAGAGAGCGAACGAAGACUGUGAAGAGUGCUCGAUCCAUGGAGAAUGAGAGAGAGCAACAGGUUUCCUUGGCCAGACUUGCAGAGCAAGCCGAGAGAUACGAUGACAUAGAAGCAAAAACUGCUAUUACUUUUACUGUUUUACAGGACAUCAGACUCAUCAGUCAUCACCAUGUGAUCCAAAGCCAUCUCCAUUAAGCUAUGCACAGCAUGAGCAUGUAUAUGGGAGUGGGAGCCUCGGAGGCAUUUGUGAUUGGAAAGUGCAUUGGUUUGGGGUUCAAGCGUGAAACACAAGCCACAAAGAGUAGGCAAGUGUUCGUGGUCGGUUGUUUUUUUACACUAGGAGCAUGAACUUGAAGACGAAGAUGUUGUGCAGAUUAUUAAGAAAGUGUGAUUACAGAACCAGCAACUUCACAUCAGAUUGCAGUCCAUAUUCUUCUCUGAGAAAUCGAGGAAGCCCCAGUACACAGUGUCUUUGGCGAGGACCGUCACCUUCUCCCUAUAAACCACGGGCUUUGAUCGAUCAGGCAACAGCCGGGUUGGGUAAGUCCGUGUCCCGGGUAAGUCCAGGUCGGAACCCGUGCCCUGGCCCCUUGGAUACACGCAGCUGAUAUACUACCACACAGGCCCAGAAUCGAACAUGCGACCUUCCUGCUCCUGAGUCCCCGAACAUGUGCGGAGGACCACUUGCACUACCCCAAGGGGUUGAUACUAGACCAUUUUUUGGAGGAGCAGUUCCCAGAACAAUAAGCAUUCAGAAGGGAAGCUGUAUCCAAAUCCAAGCAAGCUGAUAAUCAAAAUGGAAGUUCAUCAACAUGAAAAAAGCAUGUCUGAAGUGUCUGAAGCCACUCCCUACAUGGCAACCAAUAAGUCUCCACCGAUGGCAGAUCAAUCUCCCGAAGCAAGCACAGAUGCUGGACACGGAGCAGUAUUAGGUGAUUUGCCUAACAUCCAUAUGUCCUAUCACCUAGAUGGAAGAAACUAUAUGCAGUGGGCACAACUAGUGAGGACUUUUCUUAAAGGCCGGGGGAACAUCAGCCAUCUUACUGCCCUCCCUCCAAAAGCUACUGAUCCUAUAUUCCCGGCAUGGGAUAUUGCAGACUCCUUGAUAAUGUCAUGGAUGUGAAAUGCCAUACUACUUGAGGUAAGUAGGAAUUAUAUGUUUUUGGGUUUUGCUAGGGAGAUUUGGGAGGUAGUAAAGCAAACUUAUUCCAAAAUACAAGAUGCUUCAGUUAUCUAUGAAGUUAAAACUAAAAUCAGUAGUUCUAAACAAGGAGGGUUGUUUGUCACUAAGUACUACUAUCACAUGAAUGGAUUAUGACUAGAGUUAGACCACUACCAGAAUAUCAAGAUGCUUUGUAGUGCUGAUGUUGUAAACCUUAUCCAAAUAAUUGAAAGGGAUAGGAUUGUUGAAUUUUUGGUUGGUCUUAACUUUGAGCUUGAUCAAGUGAAGGUGCAGAUACUUGAUCAAAUAAUUGAAAGGGAUAGGAUUGUAGAAUUUUUGGCUAGUCUUAACUUUGAGCUUGAUCAAGUGAGGGUGCAGAUACUUGGCAAGGAAAAACUCCCUUCCCUUAAUGAGGUGUUUGCUAUGGUAAGGAGUGAAGAAAAUCGAAGGAUAGUGAUGCUUAAUGAAUCUAACACUGAUGGAUCUGCAAUGAUGUUAAACAAAGGAGAAGGGUCACGGCCUAGACCUGGGAGAACAGAGGCUCAAGGUUGAGCUAGUAGUAGAGAGGGACUAUGGUGCACCUAUUGCAAGAAGUCUCGGCAUACCUGAGACACUUGCUUCAAGCUUUAUGGAAAAGAAGCUAUCUUAAAUAAGAAUGGAGGCUUCAAGAACUUGACUAUCUCACAAGGGACAAGAGGAAGACAGAUCAGUAGAGAAGAUAGAGAUUGGUUCAAGUUUAGAUCUCACCUCAUUCAAUGCCGAUGAGAUCAACAAGCUAAAGUCCUUCCUCAAAACGAUUCAAGAUGGAGCCUGCUCUCUAGCCCAUCAGGAAUCCUCAGGUAAUUGCUCUCAUUUUGGAUUCCUUUCUAUCUUAAAAGCUGAUAGGAAUGAUACUUGAAUUUUGGAUUCAUGAGCAACAAAUCAUAUGACUCCUAACCCCCGUGUGUUUUCUACCUAUCAACGCCUUGAGACCUCUAAACGAAUUACAAUUGCUAAUGGCACAUCAGUCCCUAUAGUUGGCCAUGGUAGAGUUAACCUCAGCCCUAAUCUCUCUAUUAAACAAGUGCUUCAUGUACCCCACUUAUCAGCCAAUCUUCUCUCUAUUCGUUAGCUCACUAAAGACUUAAAAUUGCUAGGCCAUUUUUUCUCCUAAUCUGUGUGAGUUUUAGGCAAUGAACACAGGGAAGAGGAUUGGUGUUGCUAGGGGAAAGGAUGGGUUGUACUGCUUAAUGAGGGAGGUUCCUUGUCCAUCUAGAGACUAGUUGCAGGUGGCUUGCUCUUCACGAGUUAAAGAUGAUCAUCAAGACAUAUGGCUACAUCACUAUAGACGAUCAUCAAGACAUAUGGCUACAUCACUACAGCCUAGGUCAUCCCCCAUUUACUCUAUUAAAGGCUAUGUUUCCUACUCAAUUUCAUUCUAUAGAUCCUAGUGUGUUUCAUUGCGAUGUAUGUGUUAUCUCUAAACAACAUUGUAUUUCUUAUCCAAUUAGCAAUAAAAUCUACUCUAAACCCUUUGCAUUGAUUCACUUUGAUGUAUGGGCCCUUGUAAAAUUCCUAAUUAUUCUGGGGGCUCGUUGGUUUAUCACCUUCAUUGAUGAUUAUACUCAUAUGAUAUAGGUUUUUUUGUUAAAAGAUAAAGCAACCACAAGUACAGUGUUACCAAUUCUUUGUAAAAUGAUUGCUACUCAAUUUGGAACUCUUAUAUAGAAAUAGAAAUUAAGAACUGACAAUGCACGAGAUUAUUUCAAUCAUUGCAGGCAUUAGUUUUUCCAAUAAGAAAGAAUUGUCCAUGAAUCUUCUUGUAUAGAUACUCCACAACAAAAAUGAAGUAGCUGAAAGGAAGAUGAGAUAUCUCCUUAAUGUGGCUCGAGCCGUACUUCAUCCUCAUAGGGUUCCUAAAAUUUUUUUGGGGGAAGCUGUCCUUACCAUUGAUUUUCUCAUUAAUUGAGUACCCACUAAGAUACUACACAAGCAGAGCCCCCUUACAUGCCUCACAAAUCAUUUUCCAGAUUACAAUUUGCAUACCCCCCUUCCUCCUAGAGUUUUUGGUUGUGUUUCCUUUGUUCACAUUUCCAAACACCAUCAAGAUAAGCUUGAUCCCAAGGGCAAUAAAGUGUAUUUUUCUAAGGUAUUCUCCUACACAAAAAGGGUAUAAGUGCUACCAUCCUCCUACUCGAAAGCUGUAUGUAUCUAAAGAUGUCACAUUUGUUGAGUCAAUUCCAUUUUUUAGUUCACCUCCAACAGGUCACUAGGGAGAUUCUUUAUGGUGACCACAGUUUUGGUGACAUCCCCUUUCCUAACCUCUUGUCUACUCCUCAGGAUGAUCCUCAGUCCAUUGCCCAAACUAGUCCAACUACUCAAACUCAACCUUCUCUACCCAUUAACCUAUCCUCAGGCUGCCAUAAUCAAGGGCAUGAUCAAGUUGAGCCUGAUGAUCAAGUAGCCACCCAAGGGCUAUCAACUCUAGUGCAGUAUAAGCGGUCCCCUUACGUUUACAAGCGGAGGCAGCCUAGACUAGAAACUCAGCAUACACCAUCCUUGGCUCCUACUCAAGGUAUGGAUCUCAGGCAGCCUACACCUAUAGCUUCUGUUGGCCCCAUUUUUGAUGAUUUAGACCUUCCUAUUACAGUUAGAAAGGGAAUUAGAAGUUGUAACUAACAUCCAUUAACCAAUUACCUAUCCUAUCACCGUCUCUCCCAAAAACACAAGAGUUUUUUGGUAUCUUUAGAUUCAAUUAUCAUUUCUAAUUUAGUAACUGAGGCUCUAAAGGAUCAGAACUGGAGGCAAGCUAUGUUGGAGGAGAUGAGUGCAUUAAAAAAGAACCAUAUAUGGGAUCUUGUGUCUAGACCUAAGGACGUCAAUCAGGUUGGGUGUAGAUGGAUUUUUAAUAUAAAAUACGAGGCAGAUGGCACUCUAAAGAGAUAUAAGGACAGGCUGGUAGCUAAGGGCUACACACAAUCUUAUGGAAUUGACUACCUUGAAACAUUUGCUCCAGUGACAAAAAUGACUACAGUGCAGAUACUCCUCUCAUUAGCAGCCUAUUUUGGGUGGAACCUUCAACAGUUAGAUGUAAAGAAUGCAUUCCUUCAUAGAGACUUAGAGGAGGAAGUGUUUAUGGAAUUGCCACCAGGGUUUCAAUAAGGGAAUGAAGGAAAGAUUUGCAGGCUCAAGAAGGCCCUAUAUGGGCUCAAGCAAUCCCCUAGGGCUUGAUUCAGGCAUUUUUCUAAGGCUGUGAAGACUAUAGGAUAUGGCCAAAACAGGGGAGACCACACUCUCUUCAUAAAACACUCAAAAGAAGGGAAAGUUACAGUUCUUUUGGUGUAUGUAGAUGACAUGAUUAUCAUUGGCAAUGAUGAAGAGGAAUAGGAGAGACUCAAGAAAAGGUUAGCCAAGGAAUUCAAGAUCAAAGACUUGGGUAUCCUUAAGUAUUUUUUUAGGAAUUGAGGUUGGCUAUUAUAAAGCAGGGAUUUUCCUCUCUCAAAGGAAAUAUGUGCUGGAUUUAUUGGUUGAAAUAGGGCUAAUUGGUGGAAAGGGUCUAAAAUUCAUAUUGAUCCUAACAAGAAGUUAUGUAACAACCCUAGCGGCCAACCGGUGGACAAGGGAAGGUACCAGAGGCUAGUUGGGAGAUUGAUAUACCUCUCACACACUAAGCUAGACAUUGCUUUUGCAGUCAGCCUAGUGAGCCAAGUCAUGCACAACCCAAUCGAGGAGCAUAUGCUAACUGUAAGGAAGAUCCUAAGUUACCUAAAGGUCACUCCAGGUAAGGGGAUCCUAUUUAGAGUAGGGAAUGAGCUGGACAUCAAGGGGUUUUCAGAUGCGGACUCUGUUGGGUCCAUGACAUAGGUGAUCAACAAGUGGCUAUUGUGUUUUCCUAGGUGGAAAUCUGGUGUUAUGGAGUAAGAAACAGAGUGUUGUAGCAAAAUCAAGUGUAGAGGCAGAAUUUAGGGCUAUGGCCCUCGAUCUAUGUGAAGUUUUGUGGCUGAGAAUCAUCCUAGAAGAUCUAAAGAUUCAAGUCCAAGGCUCAAUUGGGUUAUGGUGUGAUAACCAAUCAGCAAUUAGCAUAGCUCAUAAUCCUGUCAAACAUGACAAGACCAAACAUGUGAAGAUAGACCAACACUUCAUAAAGGAGAACCUUACGUUCCAUCCGAGGAACAAGUUGUUGAUAUACUGAUCAAAGGACUGCUUGUGAAAAGGUUUGAAGAGCUAGCAAGCAAGCUAGGAAUGUGGGAUAUACAUUCUCUAGCUUGAGGAAGAGUGUUAGCUCAUGAGAAUACCAUGUGUGGCAUGUGUAUGAGUUUAGAAGCUUCCAAAUCAGGUUUAGGAAACUUGCCUAAACCAAUCUUGGGAAACUUUCCUAAGUGUGUAAAUAUAUCUCUUCUUAUUGUAUAGGUUUAUGUUUCCUAUUGUAUAUAUAUGUUUAGGUUUCCUAUUCAUAUAUAUACCUCUUCUAUAAAGAGGUUUGCCUGUGUACUUUGAAGAAAAAAAAAAGGAAGAAUUAUUUCAUCCUUUACAAAAAGCAGUAUCAUUUAUGUUUUAAAUCUUUUCUUGAGUUGGUGCUUUAAGUUUACAAUCGGUUUUUGGUUAUUUUUUGUCAAUCGGUUAGUUCAGAUUCUUCGGUCUAUUAGAAAGUUCAUUUUUUUCGAUUUUUUGUGAUAGUUUGGUUUUCGGUUCGAUUUAUAUGGUUUAUUGUUAACCUUAGGACUCUUAGAUUACACCCUUAGACAAGAAAACCCUCACAUAAACCCUCUUAAACACUCUCGGAUGCAAUGUAAAUGUAAGAACAUAAAACUGAACAACAGAAAAGAAAAUAACUGAAUUUAACAGAUCAAACCAAACAGCAUUAGGCGCAGAUUUAUCCUGGUUCGGAAUGUCUUUGGCAAUCCUACAUCCAGCUUUCAAACACCCACCAAGAGCAGUCUUUAUUUCCAAACAGAAGAUCAGUACAAAACUCAAGCUCUCUCUCAAUCCUAUCGCUCAAGUACAACCCUUGUUCACUCCAAGAAAAUUCAAGAACACAAUACACAUGCCUCACUUUCUCUAGAACAAAUAAUACUCACAAUAGAAACAGAGAACUUGACAAGAGAGAGGAGUUAUUAGACUGCUGCCUUGCCCUCUUAUUUAUAGAGGAGGCAGACACACUUAGGCAACUAACUAACUUAGGGAAAUUACAUAUUAACCCCAACAAAAUGUACUAAUUACACUUAACCCCAAGCUGCCUAAUUUCUUCAGCCAAAACUACUCUUUUAUACUCCUUCCGAUUCUGCUAUCUUCUAGGACAAAACUCGAGGCAAACUUCAACAAAUCUCCACCAUUUGCCUUGAGUUCUUCACCCGAUAGCCAACUCCUGCUUUCUCCAUGGAUGAUGAACAAACCUGAUCAUAUCAAACACAAACACAUCAAAGAAAACAUAUCAAUGUUGUAAAACAUAAUAAUGGACCACUCUUUGGAUAAAUUCCAGCUGCAAUAACUAAACCUGCAACUCUCAUUAGAUAUUAUCCUCCUCAAGGGAUUUCCUAAUUAACAUAUUCCUAACACCGAUAUGAUUGAUAUACUAUAUGAUGGGACUAAUGACUAAGCCAAAUGGACUGCCCAUUGGCUGUUUCAACUCCUCCUACCUAGACUAUAUUUUUAGGGUUCCUGCUGCCUACAAAAUGCAACAUAUACACCCUAAAUGCAUAAUUUCCAGCUAGGCACACUCCACCAUAAACCAAAUCCAUAUAUAAUGUUACUCAUUAAUCCCAAAGGGUCUAAACUUUUACAUAGCAUUUCAACACCAGUGAACCUCUCCCGGAAUUGAACUUAACAUUGCUAGACUUCCUCCUAGCUUCCAAAACCGGCCUUUUAGGAUUUACCACUGCCUUUUCCUUUUAUGUUUGCUUCAAAACAAGACUGCUAGACCUCUUUUCUUAACUCUCCUCUAUUUCCAGCUUAACAAAGGUAUAAUUAAGAUUUGGGUAUUCCUAGGCUGCCAUGAGCUGUCCUAUUCCUAUUCCAACCUCUACGCCUUAUCUUUCCAACUUCCCCUCCUUCCAACAAUCUCAAACACUGAACUACCACCUCAGCUACACCUUGAGAUUCCCAUUGGAUAACUAUCAAUGAAGCUGCCUUACUUUUCCUAGGCAUACCGUUGAAAUUGACACAGCUUUCCUAUGCACUCAAUUUACCCCUUUAACCUAAGGGAUCUUCCACCUGAGUCCAAGACUCUCCCCAAAUUUUCAUGGCUCCAUGCCAUUCAUUUGGUCAUGAGUGCAACCCUCUUUUAUACAAGGGGCUCUAUAUCCCAGCCUAUCCUUAGCACCCAAACCUGAGCCUAAGCAUCUUAUAAACCUAAAUUUCCAUACCUCACUGGAAACUAACUUAAGACCUAUCACUACCCAUCCUAGGUAGCACUCUAAACCUUCUAUUCCCUUGCUCAUUUCCUACAAGAUGAUUCUCCUUCCCUUUCCUUGCUUAAUCUGGACUUUUGAUCAAUAAUGGCUACACCAUACAAGGACACACUUGCACACACCAUUUCUCCUCAUUGUUCACAAGGACCCUCACUGCAAGCGCCAAAGCUAUCUUAAAUACUAGCUUCCUCCCUCUCACAAUCUAGCCCAAGCUUACACAAUGAAUUUGACCAAAAUAUUUUCCAGAUUUCCCUAUUGAUAUACCCUGGUUCAUAGGUUAGAUCCAGACAUCCAAAGGAUUUGGGUUAAUCGAUUAGUUCAAUUCAAAAGUACAAACACUUUAGGAAUGUGCCACAUAUUUUUGAUAAUUUUCCAAAAUUCACAUCACACUCAUCCAAACAUUGUAUUAUUUUUUAUUUUGCCCCCCAAAUUUGGACACAUCUGUCAACAUUUGUAUCCAUAGUGGAAUCUUGCAUAUCCAUCAUUUGAACAAAUUAGAAUCACAUUUUAUGUUUAAAAGAAAUAGGAAAGUUGAAAAGUAAUUAUAAAAGUAAAUCAAUGUAGAUGUACAUUUAUUUGGCUUUCCUUCUUUGAACUUUUUAAUUCAAAAUUCAAAAAUAUAGAAUUUAAAAUUUGUAUUUGUUUAUUAAUAGACCUUUUUAUAUACAACACGUAUGUGUGAAAACUUGUAAUAACACUUGUUUCUUCACUUAGCUAUUUCAUGUUCUUGGUGCAACUUGGUUGUUUUGCAUAUUUUGGUUACAUUAAACAUAUUUUAAAGAUUUCACAAAAAAUUAUUUCAAAUAUAUAGCCUGAUGAGGAAAAGCUUCUUUUUUGCACGAGCAUGUAUUCCUAAAUCCAAUAGUGCUUGAGGUGGAUAUACAGUGUUUGAUAGAUUAAGCACGCAUGAGUUCGUGACAUAUAUUUCAAUUCUAAAGUGGUGAUUUGCAAUAUAUUCUUUAUGGCA